rnacentral:rRNA from 1 species
UAGAGUUUGAUCCUGGCUCAGGAUGAACGCUGGCGGCGUGCCUAAUACAUGCAAGUCGAACGCACAGCGAAAGGUGCUUGCACCUUUCAAGUGAGUGGCGAACGGGUGAGUAACACGUGGAUAACCUACCUCAAGGUUGGGGAUAACAUUUGGAAACAGAUGCUAAUACCGAAUAAAACUUAGUAUCGCAUGAUACCAGGUUAAAAGGCGCUACGGCGUCACCUAGAGAUGGAUCCGCGGUGCAUUAGUUAGUUGGUGGGGUAAAGGCUUACCAAGACAAUGAUGCAUAGCCGAGUUGAGAGACUGAUCGGCCACAUUGGGACUGAGACACGGCCCAAACUCCUACGGGAGGCUGCAGUAGGGAAUCUUCCACAAUGGGCGAAAGCCUGAUGGAGCAACGCCGCGUGUGUGAUGAAGGCUUUCGGGUCGUAAAGCACUGUUGUAUGGGAAGAACAGCUAGAGUAGGGAAUGACUUUAGUUUGACGGUACCAUACCAGAAAGGGACGGCUAAAUACGUGCCAGCAGCCGCGGUAAUACGUAUGUCCCGAGCGUUAUCCGGAUUUAUUGGGCGUAAAGCGAGCGCAGACGGUUAAUUAAGUCUGAUGUGAAAGCCCGGAGCUCAACUCCGGAAAGGCAUUGGAAACUGGUUAACUUGAGUGCAGUAGAGGUAAGUGGAACUCCAUGUGUAGCGGUGGAAUGCGUAGAUAUAUGGAAGAACACCCAGCGGCGAAGGCGGCUUACUGGACUGUAACUGACGUUGAGGCUCGAAAGUGUGGGUAGCAAACAGGAUUAGAUACCCUGGUAGUCCACACCGUAAACGAUGAACACUAGGUGUUAGGAGGUUUCCGCCUCUUAGUGCCGAAGCUAACGCAUUAAGUGUUCCGCCUGGGGAGUACGACCGCAAGGUUGAAACUCAAAGGAAUUGACGGGGACC